AGAGUUUGAUCAUGGCUCAGAUUGAACGCUGGCGGCAUGCCUAACACAUGCAAGUCGAACGGCAGCACAGUCGUAGCAAUACGAUGGGUGGCGAGUGGCGGACGGGUGAGGAAUACAUCGGGACCUGCCCAGACGUGGGGGAUAACGUAGGGAAACUUACGCUAAUACCGCAUACGUCCUACGGGAGAAAGCGGGGGAUCUUCGGACCUCGCGCGGUUGGAUGGACCGAUGUUCGAUUAGCUAGUUGGUGGGGUAAAGGCCUACCAAGGCGACGAUCGAUAGCUGGUCUGAGAGGAUGAUCAGCCACACUGGGACUGAGACACGGCCCAGACUCCUACGGGAGGCAGCAGUGGGGAAUAUUGGACAAUGGGCGCAAGCCUGAUCCAGCAAUGCCGCGUGUGUGAAGAAGGCCUUCGGGUUGUAAAGCACUUUUAUCAGGAGCGAAAUACUAUCGGCUAAUACCCGGUGGGGCUGACGGUACCUGAGGAAUAAGCACCGGCUAACUUCGUGCCAGCAGCCGCGGUAAUACGAAGGGUGCAAGCGUUAAUCGGAAUUACUGGGCGUAAAGCGUGCGUAGGCGGUUUUUUAAGUCUGCUGUGAAAUCCCCGGGCUCAACCUGGGAAUGGCAGUGGAUACUGGAAAGCUAGAGUGUGAUAGAGGAUGGUGGAAUUCCCGGUGUAGCGGUGAAAUGCGUAGAGAUCGGGAGGAACAUCAGUGGCGAAGGCGGCCAUCUGGAUCAACACUGACGCUGAGGCACGAAAGCGUGGGGAGCAAACAGGAUUAGAUACCCCGGUAGUCC
rnacentral:rRNA from 1 species